CUUGCAACGGGAAAUGCUGGGAAACUUCUAAGAGAGAUUUUGUUAAUCUGAGGCUUUUGCUUAUUGAUGAAUCAAAUUUGCGGCUAUGGAGACCUAAAAGUCGCCACUUCCCACGGCUCAAGUGCCUAAUGCUUCUUCGUUGUCCAGAUUUGUCUGAGAUUCCAAUUGCUCUUGGACACAUUCCAACGCUUGAACUGAUCGAGGUCGAUGAUUGUAACAAAUCUCUUUUCAAGUCAGCCAGAAAGAUUCGAAGGAUACACCGAUUGAAUUUUGGUGAUGGCCUUCAUGUUCGUACGAUGCGUUCUUGAUAUACUCUUUCAAAUUCGACUCUGUACUUCAUAUCAGAUGCAGAGUGUUGAUGAGCUAGCUUACCAGAUAUUUGACUGAUAAGAAAGGCAAAGAGAAUGGUAGAGAUCUAGCUAGUUCCAAAUUAUUGAUCAGAGAUUUAGUCAUUUGGUUUUCGGGUUUGACAGGUUGGUUUGUAAGUUGUGUCAACUCUUUCGUUUCUCUUUUCUUGUUAGGUCACAGGGGACAAAUUUGUAGUUUCUAUUUGUGAUUGUAAGGCAUGUGCUGAAGGCUCGACGACUAACUCAUUGCUAUUGGGUGUUUCACGAGUUAUAACUACUUUGAUGAUUGACUAUAUAUCUGAGAGGUAGAAGAGGGUUGAAUGAAGUAUCUUUCAGAAUCAAAUUUUAAAUUUUGAUUUGGUUCGAAUAGAAUA